rnacentral:rRNA from 1 species
UGUUUAAUUUUUUUUUUAAAUAAAGCCUGCUCAAUGAAAAUUAAAUAGCCGCAGAAUUUUAACUGUGCUAAGGUAGCAUAAUCAUUAGAUUUUUAAUUAAAAUCUAGAAUGAAAGGCGUAACUUUUAUUAACUUUAUUAAAUUUACUUAAUUAAAAUUAAAUUAAAAAUAAAAAUAUUUUUAUAAAAUAAUAGACGACAAGACCCUAUUGAACUUAACUUUAGUUAAGCUGGGGCAGCUAAUUAAAAAUAAUUUUAAUUUAAAUAGUUGUAUAAAAACCUAAUAUUAUUAAAUAAAUAAGUUACCAUAGGGAUAACAGCGUAAUUUUUUAUAAAAGUUCUUAUUAAAUAUAAAGAUUGCGACCUCGAUGUUGAAUAUUUUCCUAAUAGAGGCAAAACUUUAAAAAGGAAGUCUGUUCGACUUUUAAAUUUUUACA